UACGGAGGAUGCAAGCGUUAAUCGGAAUUACUGGGCGUAAAGCGUGCGCAGGCGGUUAUGUAAGACAGGUGUGAAAUCCCCGGGCUUAACCUGGGAACUGCAUUUGUGACUGCAUAGCUAGAGUACGGUAGAGGGGGAUGGAAUUCCGCGUGUAGCAGUGAAAUGCGUAGAUAUCGGGAAGAACACCAACGGCGAAAGCACUCUGCUGGGACGAAAAACUGACACUGAUAGACGAAAGCUAGGGGAGCAAAUGGG
rnacentral:rRNA from 1 species